rnacentral:lncRNA from 1 species
CUUUCCGCCAGUUUCGUUAUGCUUGUCCAACUUAUCUUUAAUCUAGUACAUCAAGGUCAUAUAACUUUCUCAAACUUUGUACAACCCUUCAUCAAAAGUAUAUUAAUAUUUGUGUUACUACACGGAAAAAAAACAUGCGAUGUACAAAAUAUGACAUAAUUUGUGAAUGUGACUAUAUAAAGGGAUGAAGUGUUUAAUUGUAAACAAGAAAGAAUUUGUUAUGACUUUAUUACGUUGUCUCUAUCUGCCAAAACUUGUUAUGUAGUUACGACUUGUAACGGCUUAAAUUGUCGUACUUGAAAAAAUGGUUGUAGCCAUCGGGUAAGGUUAAGAGACUUUCCUACAUAUUGGUGUGGACUUAUCUGACUUCAAGCAAUUAGUUUAUUUAAAGACGGACAAAUAAGUGCACAUUAUCUACAAUUGCUAUCUGCUAGGAUCGUCUGUCUAUGGAGCCAUUUGCAUAGGAUCAUUAUCACUUCAUUUGAAACAUUACCACGCCACAUGAAUAUUAAUCAUAAAGAAUGAUAAACGGAUCUACUAAUCGUGAGUUAUGUUAAUAAUUCCAGUGCUGACCUCAAAUGAUCUUAGGAAAUUACCGUUACUUUGAAAAAGAAAGGUUUUUCAAAACUCUUUAGACUUUAAAGUACAUCAUAAACGUAUAAGGUAAACCGAG